UACGUAGGGUGCUAGCGUUGUCCGGAAUCAUUGGGCGUAAAGCGCGUGUAGGCGGUCCGGUAAGUCCGCUGUGAAAGUCGAGGGCUCAACCCUCGAAUGCCGGUGGAUACUGUCGGGCUAGAGUGCGGAAGAGGCGAGUGGAAUUCCUGGUGUAGCGGUGAAAUGCGCAGAUAUCAGUAGGAACACCGGUGGCGAAGGCGGCAUCUUGGACCAACACUGACGCUGAGUGAGCGAAAGCCAGGGGAGCAAACGGG
rnacentral:rRNA from 1 species